rnacentral:misc_RNA from 1 species
UCAUUGCACCCCUCAAGCUCAGCUUGGUAUUGGGUCCUCGUCCCGGUGGGAUGUGCCCGGAAGUUAGUGGCGGUCCAGAGGGACUUCAAGCGUAGUAAAUUACAUCCCGCUUUGGAAGAUUCCCGCUGCGAGCCGGCCAGACAACCCUUUAUUUUUCAAUGGUUGACCUCGGAUCAGGUAGGGAUACCCGCUGAACUUAA